ACCGCUGGCGCUAAGUCAGAGGAAGGAGAGGUCAACGGUAGGUCAGUAUGCCCCGAAUCUCCCGGGCUACACGCGCGCUACAAAGGACAGGACAAUGGGAUGCAAUACCGAGAGGUAACGCCAACCCCGAAACCUGUUCGUAGUUCGGACUGAGGGCUGUAACUCGCCCUCACGAAGCUGGAUUCCGUAGUAAUCGCGGGUCAACAUCCCGCGGUGAAUAUGCCCCUGCUCUUU
rnacentral:rRNA from 1 species